AGAGCUUAAAACAGAACUUAAAAAUACUACAAGCUAAAUUUGCUACAAUAAUUAACCAAGAGAUAGAGUGGAAAAUUAAAAGGAUGAAUCAAAAGAACUUUGAGUCCGCAAAUAAGAUAGGGAAAUAUCUAGCGUGGCAGUUGAGAGAAAGGAAGAAGUUGAAUACGAUCAGUAAAAUAAAAGAAGGAGAUAUGAUUAUGGAAGAACC